UACGGAAGGCAGCAGUGGGGUAAUAUUGCACAAUGGGCGCAAGCCUGAUGCAGCCAUGCCGCGUGUAUGAAGAAGGCCUUCGGGUUGUAAAGUACUUUCAGUCGUGAGGAAGGUGUUAAGGUUAAUAACCUUAGCAAUUGACGUUAGCGACAGAAGAAGCACCGGCUAACUCCGUGCCAGCAGCCGCGGUAAUACGGAGGGUGCGAGCGUUAAUCGGAAUUACUGGGCGUAAAGGGCACGCAGGCGGUUAAUUAAGUUGGAUGUGAAAUCCCCGGGCUUAACCUGGGAAUGGCAUUCAAGACUGGUUAGCUAGAGUCUUGUAGAGGGGGUAGAAUUCCGAUGUGUAGCGGUGAAAUGCGUAGAGAUGUGGAGGAAUACCGGUGGCGAAGGCGGCCCCUGGGACAAAGACUGACGCUCAUGUGCGAAAGCGUGGGGAGCAAACAGGGAUUAGAUACC
rnacentral:rRNA from 1 species